UUGCGCGUACCCUGCAAAUAGAAAAUUGUGCCUAAAACCAGUACAUAAUUGUACAUAAACCAGCUAUUUUUCUAAUUACGACGUCAAGAAGAAAAUGAAGAGGAGCUAUCCACCCGGGAAUGUAAAAAGAAAAAAGAAAAAAGAGGAAGAGGAGAGAUGAAAGCAAGACAGUGGAUCAUUGCUGAAAUUUCUGACACCAGGGCCCAGUAAAGAGAGCGAUGUUCCACCUGAUGUGCCAGCUGAUGACUCUCAACCUGGGCCCUCUUCUGCUCAGCAGUCGGAAUUUACCUCCAGCAAAAUAACAGAUAGCCCUGCUCCCACCAGUCCUGACCAGGAUCAUGUACCAAUACCACAGACAGAUGAGACGGCCUUUUCACGUGCAACUGGUGAUAUCAUUCCGUCAUCACCCACCUUGAGUGAAAGUGAAACAUCUUUUCACCAUGAAGAUGACGUGCCACCCUCUACAAAAGGUUUAAUCACAUCAGUUGACGCCGCACAGUGGCCAGA